rnacentral:rRNA from 1 species
CCUACGGGUGGCAGCAGUGAGGAAUUUUGGUCAAUGGACGGAAGUCUGAACCAGCCAUGCCGCGUGCAGGAAGACGGCUCUAUGAGUUGUAAACUGCUUUUGUACAAGGGUAAACCUGAAUACGUGUAUUCUUCUGACAGUACUUUACGAAUAAGGAUCGGCUAACUCCGUUCCAGCAGCCGCGGUAAUACGGAGGAUCCGAGUGUUGUCCGGCUUGAUUGGGUUUAAAGGAUGCGUAGGCGGAUUGAUAAGUUAGAGGUGAAAUGUCCGAGCUUAACUCGGGAACUGCCUCUAAUACUGUUGAUCUAGAGAGUAGAUGCGGUAGGCGGAAUGUAUGGUGUAGCGGUGAAAUGCUUAGAGAUCAUACAGAACACCGAUGGCGAAGGCAGCUUACCAAGCUAUAUCUGACGUUGAGGCACGAAAGCGUGGGGAGCAAACAGGAUUAGAUACCCUUGUAGUC